rnacentral:tRNA from 1 species
GCCGAGAUAGCUCAGUCGGUAGAGCACAGCCCUGAAAAGGCUGGUGUCCCCAGUUCGAAUCUGGGUCUCGGCACCA